CUGGUGUUCGGGUUGUCAUGCCAAUGGCAUUGCCCGGUAGCUAAAUGCGGAAGAGAUAAGUGCUGAAAGCAUCUAAGCACGAAACUUGCCCCGAGAUGAGUUCUCCCUGACUCCUUGAGAGUCCUGAAGGAACGUUGAAGACGACGACGUUGAUAGGCCGGGUGUGUAAGCGCAGCGAUGCGUUGAGCUAACCGGUACUAAUGAACCGUGAGGCUUAACCUU
rnacentral:rRNA from 1 species